GUCUGUUUGGAGUUAUAAAGAGUCUAGCCUGCCCACUGAUUAAUAUUUAAGGGCCGCAGUAUUAUAACUGUGCAAAGGUAGCAUAAUCAUUAGGUUUUUAAUUGGAAUCUUGAAUGAAUGGUUGGACAAAAGAAGUACUGUCUUUAUGUUAAAUUUUGAAUUUAACUUUUAAGUGAAAAGGCUUAAAUAUUCUAAAGGGACGAUAAGACCCUAUAAAACUUUACAUUAAGAUUAAAUUUAGUUAAAUUUAAUUAUAAAGAUUUAAUUUAAUUAUUUGUUGUAUUGGGGAGAUAUAGGUAAACCUUUUAUUAACUGCUUACUGAUCAAACAUUUACUAAUGAAAGUAAUAGAUCCUUGUUAAAGAUUGUUGAAUUAAGUUACUUUAGGGAUAACAGCGUUAUUUUUUUUGAGAGUUCAUAUCGAAAAAAAAGAUUGCGACCUCGAUGUUGAAUUAAAAUAUCUGUAUAAUGGAGCGGUUAUACAAGAAGGUCUGUUCGACCUUUAAAAUUUUACAUGAUUUGAGUUCAAACCGGCGUGA
rnacentral:rRNA from 1 species